rnacentral:tRNA from 1 species
CCCUGGUAGCUCAGUUGGUAAAGAUUCUGCCUGCAAUGCAGGAGACCCUGGUUUGAUUCCUGGAUCAGGAA